UAUUAUAAAAAGUUUUUAUAAAAAUUUUAUGUUAAAGUAAUAUUUUAAGAAAUAAUAAAUAUAUUUAUAUAUAUAAGUAAUGUAAAUGAAAUUUUAAAAUUUUAUAAAUUAAAGUAAAAUUUUGUACCUUUUGUAUCAGGGUUAAUUUAAAAAUUUUUAAUAAAUUAAAUAUCUCGAAAUUAAAAGAGUUAAAUAUAUAAAAUUUUUUUUGUUGAAUAAAAAUUAUAAAUAUAUAUUUAGAGAUUAGAUGUUAUUCAAUUUUAAUGAUAUCUAGUUAUUUUUGAAUUAAAUUUAAUUUAUAUAUUUUUUAAAGUAAAUUUAAAUAAAAAAGUUUAUUUUAGAAAAUAUAAAUAAUUUAUGGGAUAAUCUAUAAAUUAAAUUUAUAUAAUAAUUUAAAUUAAAAUUAAAAAGAUUAAUUUUAAAAUUUAAAAGAAUUUAAUGAGUAUUUAAUAAUUUAUUAAUAAAUUUUUAAUUAUAGUAAAAUUAAUUAUAUAUAUUGAUUUUAAAAAAAAAAUAAUUUUAAUAAUAUUAGUUAUAAUAUAAUGAUUAAAUUAGUAAUUUAAUUUGUAUAAAUUAUUUUAUGAAUAGUAUAUAUAUAAAUAUAUAUUUAAGUAACUAGGCAAAAUAAUUAUAUUCACCUGUUUAACAAAAACAUGUCUUUUUGAAUUUAAUAUAAAGUCAGUUCUGCUCAAUGAGGAAUUAAAUAGCUGCAGUAUUUUGACUGUACAAAGGUAGCAUAAUCAAUUGUCUUUUAAUUGAAGGCUGGGAUGAAUGAAUUAAUGAAAUAUAAACUGUCUCAAUAAUAUAAAAUAAAUUUAAAUUUUGAGUCAAAAUGCUUAAUUUUAUUUAAGGGACGAUAAGACCCUAUAGAAUUUUAUAUAUUAUAAAUUUUAUAAAUUGUAUUAAUAUAUUUAGUUGGGAGGAUUUUUAAAUUUAUUUAACUUUAAAAUUUUAAAAUAUUGAUUGAUAGAAUUUUAAAUUGAAAUAUAAUUAAUAAUAUAAAAAUAAAUUACCUUAGGGAUAACAGCGUAAUAUUUUUGGAAAGAUCAAAUUGAAAAAGGUGUUUGCGACCUCGAUGUUGAAUUAAAAUUAAUUAUAAAUGCAGGUGUUUAUAAAUUUAGUCUGUUCGACUAUUAAAAUUUUACAUGAUUUGAGUUCAGAUCGACGUGAGUCAGAUUGGUUUCUAUCUUUAAAAAGAUUUAAGAUUUUUGUACGAAAGGACUAAGUUUUAAAAAUAAUUUUUAAUUAAUUAUUAAUAA
rnacentral:rRNA from 1 species